rnacentral:tRNA from 3 species
GCAGGGUUAAACCGUAGAUGGUAGCGGUACAGACUGUAAAUCUGUCUUACGAAAGUAAUCGGUAGGUUCGACUCCUACACCUUGCACCA